GAAAUGCGAUAAGUAAUGUGAAUUGCAGAAUUCAGCGAAUCAUCGAAUCUUUGAACGCAUAUUGCGCCCCUUGGUAUUCUGAGGGGCAUGCCUGUUCGAGCGUCAUUUCACCCCUCAAGCUCUGCUUGGUGUUGGGCCAGCAGUCCCAGUAGGGGACUCGCCUCAAAGGUGUCGGCGGUGUCCGUCCCGUCUCAAGCGUGGUGGAAAGCAUAAGCUCGCUUUGGAGGUCGGGCCGUCGCCCGCUACGGUAUAUCCGGUCUUAGAGGUUGACCUCGGAUCAGGCAGGAGUACCCGCUGAACUUAA
rnacentral:misc_RNA from 1 species